AGUCUACGAGUCUAUAAGUCUUAAACUAUUGGCCCACAUCUUCAAACUUUCACAUGUGCAUAAUUUGUAUAUGCAAUUAUUGUGAUUUCAUGUGCAAAUGUGAUAAUGAUGUAUGCAGUGGGUUGUCAUUUGUGGUUGCAAAAUGUGCAUGUCUUCAAUUGUGAGAAUCUGGACCAUCACAGACUGGUAUGUUUAGGACUCCAGCAUUUUCAGACUCUACUCUUUACCUUUCCUUACACUAUUUUUACAUGUGCCUUUAAACCAAUCAUAAGGAUCACAUGAUUGCAGUUUCCUGCAAACUUCCUUUCAUAUCACAUCCUCUGGACCCCAUUAAAUCUUAUCUGUGACAAAAGAUGCUUCCUAGCAUUUCCUUCCCACUUGGGGUUUAAUCCAAGACCUUCCCAAGGAAUAACAGUCUUGACUUCAUCCACAGAGACUGCUAAGCAGCAACCAGAGUCACACUGAAGGGAUAGAAACUAUUGAUGCCAAGGGUCACAGGGCUUCACUCAGCCGGAAACAGAAAGUAUAGACCUGACAUUUCUGGAGGAUUUAUUUGGCAGGCUUCUGAGGACUGAUCUGGCUUCUGGCACAAGAUGGAGCAGCCUCAGGAGUUGUUACAGCCAGAGCCCAGCAGCACUCUGACCGCACCCCCACAUUUCCCCCUGCCAUAUCUUUCCAUGACUUCUACUCUCAGAGUUGAAAGGUGGGGUGGUGGAGAGCUGUCUUAAGAAAUAUGGCAGAAUAUCAAAUGAAGGAAGCAUAAUUAACAGGCACCUGAUGCAUUGCCCAUUGUUGGUGGAACAUGUCCCAUUUGCAAGGGCAAUAAACCUACUGCAGAGCAAUAAAAGAUAUGACCCUGGGCUCCCAGCCUCCCUCUUUGUUAUCGCUGGCUGAAUGGCUGCAUAGAAUUAGAAUGCAGCCACAAAGAACUAAAGAGGACUUUCUGCGUGAUGUCAUGAUGCACUCCACAGCCAAGAAACAGGAACUGAAGGAGUGGCAGGACAGCGAGAAGAGGGACUGAAAGGAGAACACCAGAACAAAGCCAU